GGGGCCGUAGCGCAGAGGUCGUCGCGCCCGACAGCUCAUCGGGAGGACGCCGGUUCGAGUCCGGUCGGCCCACC
rnacentral:tRNA from 1 species